rnacentral:lncRNA from 1 species
AGAGCAGAGCGGGGGAGGAGACCCGUUCCUCCGGAGCUGGACGGUGGCUGGGAAGGGGCAGUCCGUGUGAGGGCAGCCUUGGCCUACGGGGUGCGUCGGCUGGACCCAGGCGGACAGGACCUUGGGAGGGAGGGGAGGAGCCCUGUAGGUUCCGCCGAGAGCUACGAGUUUGCUUAGCUCGCAGGACGUCAGAGCUGGUGACGUCCGAUGCAAGGUUCCCCUCUUCCAGGAUGAGUGCCAGGUGACGUGUAUCAGAUGCCUGUUGGUGAGAUUUGAGGCAGACCCCAGACCUUAACACCCCUCUGGCUGAGUCCCCUCACAUGGUAGCAGGGCCUACGCCACAGCCACAGCAAUGCGGGAUCCGAGUCAUGUCUGCGACCUACACCACAGCUCACAGCAAGGCCAGAUCCUUAACCCACUGAGCGAGGACAGGGAUCAAACCCUCAACCUCAUGGUUCCUAGUCGGAUUCGUUAACCACUGAACCACGACGGGAACUCCGGGCCUACACCACAGCAACACCAGAUCAGAGCCACGUCUGUGACCAACACCACAGCUCAGGGCAACACCAGAUCCUUAACCCACUGAACAAAGGCCAGGGAUUGAACCCGCAACCUCAUGGUUCCUAGUUGGAUUCGUUAACCACUGAGCCACGACGGGAACGCCUCUUUUUAAAUUAUAGUUUUGUCCAGAUAUAUGGAUUGCUGUAUCAUAUGGUAGUUUUAUAUUGCCUUUUCUGAGGAACCCCCAUACUGUUUUCCAUAGUGGUUGUACCAGUUUACAUUCCUCCAGCCGUGCAGGAGGGUUCCACACCCUCUGCAGCAUUUGUUAUUUGUAGGCUUAUGAAUGAUGGCCACUCUGACCAGUAAGAGGUGGUAUCUCACUGUAGUUUUGAUUUGCAUUUCUCUAAUAAUUAGUGAUGUUGAACAUCUUUUAUGUGCCUACUGGCCAGCUGUAUGUCUUCCUUGGAGAAAUGACUAUUUAGGUCUUCUGCACAUUUUUCGAUUAGGUUGUUCGUUCUUUUGUCGUUGAGUUGUAUGAGUUUUGUUUUGUUUUUUUAUAUUUUGGAGGUGAAGCCCUUAUUGGUUGCAUCAUUUGCAACUAUUUUCUUCCAUUCCGUAGGUUGUCUUUUCAUUUUGUUUAUGGUUUCCUUUGAUGUGAAAAAGCUUGUAAGUUUGAUUAGUUUCCAUUUGUUUAUUUUUUUCUAUUGCCUUGGGAGACUGACCUAAUAAGACAUUUGUAUGGUUUGUCUUCUCUGCCCCGUUUUUACAUGAGUGAUAGCAUAUCCCAUACAUUCUUCUGCUCCUCACUUUUUUUCACUUAAUGUACAUCUUGGAAAUAACAACAGUAAUGUAAUAACAGUAAUAUAACAUGAGGGAAACCCACAUGUCU